GCACUCACUGAGAAGAAGGGCAGAGUGUUGGACACCAUCUCGAACAAAGUGACGCCUAGGCUCCAAACAUCCAUGGCGGGGCAUUGGUAGCCCUGGCCCCCAAAGAGUUCUGGUGCCAUGUAGGGGAGGGUGCCAUGACCUACUGUCAGCCUCUGCCCCUCAUAGUAAGUUGUUGUUGAGCCAAAAUCUGCAAUUUUUAUAUUUCCUUUCCCGUCCAUCAGGAUGUUGUCCGGCUUCAGGUCUCUAUGCGAUUCUUUUUCUGUGGACGUACCUCAUGGUGGACAGCAUCUGCUGGAACAUGCCUCGGGCCUCCUCCUCCAUCACAAUGUUGUGUUGAAUCCAGUCGGACAGGCUUCCUCCAGAUGCAUACUCCAGUAUCAAGUGACACCCCUCUGUGGUGUUAAUAAUCUGAUAUAGUUUAAUUAUAUUGGGGUGGUGCACCAACUUUAAAACAGUCGUCUCUCUGUGGCUAGUGAGGAAGCCAGUUUUGUGGAUUGUUUUCACCACCACCCGGGUGCUAGUCAUCAAGUGCUGGGCCAGCGUGACCUCACCAAAGGCACCACAGCCUAUGAAGUCCAGUAUUUGAUAAUACAAUGGCCCCAGGGCAGGUGAGGUGGAGGCCAAUCCCUGCUUCAUGGUGCCUGAUAUCUCUCUACACCAGCUAUACAACUACUCUAACUCUACUGACUAUGCUAAAAUACUAAGCAACGACACUGACUAUACCAAAGUACACUAAAAUACUAAGCAACAAUACUGACUAUAUUAACUAUGCUAACAAUGCUAACUAGAAAAACACACCAACGCCUUUCACACAAAAACUCUCCCCCACCCCAAACACCCCCACACACAACCCUCUUCAAACACAGAAACACACACAGAUACACACGCACAUGUACACACACACACACACACGCCACACAACUCGCAAUCGCUAAGCUGGUCUGAGUCCACAGGUCACCAAAGAAGCUUCCAGGGAUAUAUCAGACCAAAAACCAUGACCCAGCCAGGGCCUUAUAUAGGCCUGUCUGUUAUGACAUCACAAAGGCUUUUCAUGAGCUCAGAGCAAAGCAGGGCCAAUCAUGGCUGGGGAUCUUUCACAGAGGUUUUCUCUCUUUUGGUCCCCAAAACAUCUUUCUCUUUUAAAAACCCUAGUCUCCCUGGUGCCCACCCAGGGAGCCCCAGUGGUGCUGAAGUAGCAGUGUGA
rnacentral:lncRNA from 13 species